UUAACACGGGAGGGUUUUCCCGCACGGCGGCAAGGGUUGUGCUUCCCACCUUCUUUUCAAAGAAAACAGAGGACGCGUUUGAGAGAGCGAGAAAGGGAGACAGGGAGAGAACGGAAGAGAAAGAGAGAGAGAAGGGAAGAGAGAAAGAGGGAGAACGAGUAAGAAGAGGCGAGGGAGGAAGAGAGCAAACGAGAGAGUGAGAGAUAAGGAAAGAAGAGAAGAACGACAAGGAUUUUCUAUGUGACAGCCUUAGCCAUAUUUCGAAUUUGAUGAGACAAUGCCUCAUAGGACGAGACCACUGACAGCACUUUUAGUAUUUUUUGGAGUGAAUGCUGCUUUGGUGUCUACAGUUACUCCUGUCUAUGACUUUGUUUGCUUCCAUCCUUAUUUGGAGAGACAGAGGGAAUCGCGCCGUGAAGAACAGAAAGCUGCUGCUGAAAAGAACGUUGACACUGGCUGAAGGGAUCAUAUCAGUCUGUUCUUGCCCCUUUCAUCUCUUUUCUUGCACCAAACAAAAUUUUGAUCUUGUUUAGGAUAAACAAAUUUAGUUAUUGAAAGCCAGCUUUAGAUUGACCCUGAAUCAUCAUAUGUAUGAAGCACAUUUUCAUAUACCUACCAUUUGCAAAUUGCCCAGCUUCCUUGAUGACUUCUUUCGUUCCAACUUAUUCAUCAAUCCAGACAGAUGAAUCAGAAUGUCUGCAGCUUGGGUAGAGAACAUACAUCAGGGGGUAAAGUGAGCUUGGGCAUCUUUCUUAGCUAGCUAGGUCUGCGGACUGAAUUCAAUACCUUGGGUAUGUAUUGCUCCCUGGAUGGUCAAAGUAAGAGAGAAACUUGCUGGUAGAAACUGGAUUUUUUCUCUGAGAACUGAAAUAAGGUGUGCACUAGUGAUGUGGUGGUUAGCAUAUGGAGAUUGAACUUGUGACUGAACAAUGCAAAUUUGAGAGAAUGCCAUGCCAUUUUCAGAUGUUGUCACUCCGUAUACGGGCCUGUAUACAGGCCUAUCCGUAUUCUAAUGACAUGCAAAGUUCAAGAGUUGAUGACGGAGGGUUAGUUGUGAAUAAGACCAAGUCCUUAAGCCCUUUAAACUUCAGCAAUAACAAGGCUCAACAAAAGGCUACUUUAUGAGUCGAGUGUUGGAAGCUUGUGCACGACUUACUUGGGCUCUCCUCUCUCAAGGUGACCUUCAGGAGUACCACCUUGGGGAUAUCUUAAUCAAGUUGGAAAAGAAAUUAGCCAAAUGUAAGGGGGAUCUACUGUCUU